GAAGAAGAAGAAGUUUUGAAACAGAAAACAGCUAAUGUAGAGUCUGGACGUAUCUGGUGGAGUUUUAUCUUUUUGUCUCUGUUGUUGGCCGCACAUGAUCAGGCUUUCUACAAACAUGUCUAAAGGCCAACAGCUGAGGGACAGGCUGAAACAAUUGCCAACAGCUGAUGAUGAAGUAUUUGAGUUGUUAGGAUUGAUUGCACAGUAUGAAGAAGAAAUUAAUCAUUUAAAAGAAGAGGACAAAGGAUUGAAAAUUCUGGAAGCUGCUUUUAAUCCUCAAGUCCGCUAGUACAAUGCAGGAAAGGGUCACUGUAGUCUGUUCUGUUAAUGGAUGUCCUUCAGUCAUUCCCCAGCAGCUGGAGACCAUGGCACCACCUACAAGGAGGAGUAUGACCCAGCAGCCGACACCUCCAGUCACGAGGCCUCCACCGGUUGCCAUGACGACGUCCGCCUCUUGUGUUCCUUGGUUUCCCGAUCAACAGCUCCCACCAGGGCAUUUGGAUCUAAAUUAAACAAGAGAACUAAUCGUAGAAUGACAAUGAUUAAUCUUCUCUUACAUAACACUUUGAUAUGGGCACAUUUACCCAUUUUUCUUCACCUUGAUAGAGUAUACUAACAGUUGCAUCAUUCCCUUGAGCUAUAAUUUCUGCCGCUUUA